rnacentral:lncRNA from 1 species
UGACCCAGACAGAGCCACGCCCAUGGCCCACCGACCGAGGGUAUAAAUAACCCCGGCUGCGAGUCACGUUCAGAAGGCAUCAACCCUAGAAAACCAUCAACGUUUUUUAAAUCAAAAUACUACAAAGAAGAAGAAAGGACAGUGCUGUUUAAAGAGGACGACAUAUUCUGAAUGACAGCGCAUCGCGACUUUUGAGGUGAGUAAAAGAGAAGGGAACAGAAACACGAAGACUCUGAGCGGAUAAUGCUAACGCUAAUGCUAACAGGCUAACCGCGCUCGUGGUAAAGCCUGGUAAUAUGUUAGUGACCAGGUAGAGCUAACUGUUGUAAUGCUUUGUCGUUUAUUUAAUCAAAAUUAUUAUUGCAGGGUUUCUGUUUGGUUUUAUUAAAAAGUCUUAAAACAUCUAAAAUCUAAUAGUGUAAAUUUAAUGUCUAAAAUCCUCUUAAAACCUUUUAAAAUGUCUUAAAUACAAAUUAGAAAGGUCUUAAAAAUGUGUUGAUGUUACUUAAAAAUAAAGAUUGAUUUGAAGUUAGUUUAAAAUGUUCCAGUUUACCUUCAUUUCUUUUGUACUUUCCAGAAUGGAUGUAAAAUGGAUUUUAAAUUGUUUUCAUUAUGGUCUUAAAAAAGUCUGAAAAUGUCUUAAAUUUGGUAAAAAGAUACUUUAUUAAUCCUUGAGGGAAAUUCAAGAUUUUUAAACAAAUAAGAAACCAACACAUUUUAUAAUUUUUUAACUUAUAUUUUUAUGGAUAAUUAAAAAAAAAAAUUACACCUUUGUUUCAGACAGAAACAUACAUGUGGUAUAAAAUUUUUGAAUUUCAUUAUUCAAAGUUUUUUAUUUUGACUUGUUGAAACCUGCAGAAACUCUGUAUUGAAAUGGAAGUGAAGUUGACAAAUUUUACAAAUUUCUGACACAAAUGUGGUCAAGUUUAACCCAAAAUAAACUCAAACUCUGAUGAUUAAUUUGUUGUAUUUUAUGGUUCAGGUGUCGCAGAUGGACUCGACACACUAGAGGAAGAGGAGGAUCAUCAAACAGAGUGGCGGAUACUCUGAGGUAAUGUUAUUAUCUGUGUUUUUAAAGUUCAUCAGUGUUUCAAUUACUGGAAAAUUAGUUACUGCGUUGUAGACGAGACACGACUUUAGAAAAUGUAGAAGUGGCUAUGAUUUAAUGAAUUUAUUCACCAAUAAUCCAAAAUCAGCUGACAUUGAAGUGUUUUUUAUUUAAUUCGCUGCAUAAAUAAACAAAAACAGAUGUAUCACUGACUUCUCUGUGAAUGUUUCUGUAAAUUAAAUCACUCAAAGUUUAUUUUUCAUGACUUGAAAGUUACGUUAUUUUCAUGUAAUGUUGUUUUGAAACCAGAUAAAUACGAACAACAUAAAACAAACUAUUUUAUAAGUAAAACAUCUAUAACAUCAUGUAAACAAUAAUAAUAAGUCAUUAAUUCUAGCUGUUAACUGCAGUGGUCUCUAAAAGACUCAUUGAAUUAUAAUUGUCCACCCGAGGGCGCCAUUUCUACACAAAACUGCCCUGCUAUAAAUAAAGACAGUAUUAUUCUACUUUAUUUAAAAUAAGAAAUCAUACACCAACACAUUUUAUCAUUUUUCAUCAAUAUAUUUAUGGAUAAUUCAAUAAAUUAUUACACUUUUGUAUCUGAUCACAAACAUACAUGUAGUAUAAAAUUGUGACGUGUUAUUCUUGAAGCAGUUAGUGAACUUUAUGUACUCUCAGCCUACAGUUUUAUAAGACCAAUUGAUAAAGGAGUAAAUCUAAAUUCCCCUUCCACAAAGAACAAUACAAAGAAAAUAAAAGCUUCAAGUCCAAGUCCAGAGUCGUGUUGAAUCAGUACACUGUGACUUAAACUCUAGCUAACCUAAAUACAUGUUUUUACUCAGUUUUAUUUGAGAGAGGGAAAAAACUACAAGCUUAAAUCCUGAGCACUUUACAUUGGAAGCUCACUAAAAUAAUAAGUUACAAGAACAACUGCUAAAAACACGUUAAUUAUAGAAAUAUUUUAAUUUAGUUGUCAGAAAUCUAAUCUAACAAGGAUAUUAAUUUUAAAGAGAUUAUGAUUUUAACAUCUCUCUCUCUCUUGUUCACUAAUUAAGCCCUUAAUUCCCUGUAUUUAUAGUGUUUUCUUUAAGUGUAGUGCAUAUUAACUCUAUUGUACUAAAUCAUAAAGAAUCACAUUAAACACCAGAGUUAAAAGUCCAACGUUUUAUUGAUAUAAGAGACACAAGAAUAAGGACACCAAACACAGCUGAAGUUUCAAUCAUUCAUUCAUUUAUAGAUAUUUUUAGACUUACAUCAGCUUCUCUGACAGUCAUGCAAAAAUAAGUGCAAACAGAUCUUAAGCACAAAUUCAGUAAAACUUUUCACUUAUUUUUAUUUUGACUGUUUCAAAAGACAUCACAGUAAAAAAACAAACAACUCCAUGAUCAGUGAAGUAGCCUGAGAGUUUCUCGGAGUCUCACCACAGUCCAGUUUGACAUCCUCAGCACUGAUUUUUGUCUUUCGAUGUGUCAAAUAUGAAAAACUAAUUGUGUCUCUUCUUGCCUUUCAGGACUCAUCCCCGGCAGAUCCUGGAGUUGAUUUUCCUGAUUUUAGCCGUAGAAAUGUUUAGAGUCUGGAUUUAUUAUUUCACCUUUUCAGUGUUUAGAGACUUAAGUCACGAUUAAAAGUGAAGAUUUGGGACAAUUUGAUCAUUUACUUAAAAGCUUUUAAGUUUCAUCAGUCAGCAGUUAAUUUAAAAUAGUUUAGAUUGAAUCAUUUUCUAGUUGGAAUUAUCUUUGGACUGUAAAUCUUUGCUUUUAAAUGGAAAUGUUGGUGCGCUCAAGUGCAAGUGGUGGUCAGUUUGGAUAUAACCUGUUUGUUUCCUGAGAAACUUGUGAUUAACGACUGCACAUUAAAGGUUUAAAAAGGACCAGGUCUGAUGUUUUUAUUGAUUUUUCUAAGCAGACACUCAUUAACAGUUACAGAUAAAACUCACAUUUAAUAUUAAUACUAUUUAAAAUGUGUAUUUUAUCAUUUCAAUCAUUGCUUUUAUAAUUUUUUUACAUGUAGACUUUGUUUAUGUUAAAUUUCAUAUGAAAAUCAUUUUUCUAUCACAGUGCUCCACAUUAACAAAUUGAUGGUUGGUAAAAGUAAAGUUAAAACUACAAACUAAAUAAGUGCAACAACGGCUUGUUACAUGAUCCAGAUGAAGCAGCCGAUCACCACUUAGUGCUGCCCUAUAAUAUUUUUUUUCCAGUUAUAUUAUGACAUUUUAUCAUACUAUAGAAUAGUUUUUUGGAUUAAAUAUAACAUCUUUAACUUACUUUACUAUGAUUUUUUAUCAUACUUUGAUUUUUUUUAAUAUAUUUUUUA